ACUUAUUUUUGUACAAACAAUUUAACUAAAUUAUCCACAAAAAUGGCCGAUGAAGAUUUAUCACUAAAUGAAGAUCAACUCUUGGAGAAUUUGGAUGAGGCCAAUGGUGAAAAUGAAACAGAACUAAUAAAUGAGGAGGAUAACAAUAUGCAGAUUGAUCCCGAAUUGGAAGCUAUAAAAGCUCGCGUCAAAGAAAUGGAAGAAGAAGCUGAGAAAAUUAAACAAAUGCAGUCUGAGGUGGAUAAACAAAUGGCCGGUUCGACAACGGGCUUAGCUACAGUUCCCUUGUCGUUGGAGGAGAAACAGGAAAUCGAUACACGUUCGGUGUAUGUGGGUAAUGUUGAUUAUGGUGCAUCGGCUGAAGAAUUGGAGGCACACUUCCACGGCUGUGGCACAAUCAAUCGAGUGACUAUAUUGUGCAAUAAGGCUGAUGGUCAUCCCAAGGGAUUUGCCUAUAUUGAAUUUGGUUCCAAAGAAUAUGUUGAGACUGCAUUGGCCAUGAAUGAGACCCUGUUUCGUGGUCGUCAAAUUAAGGUUAUGUCCAAACGUACAAAUCGUCCUGGCCUCUCUACUACCAAUCGUUUCCCCCGUGGCAGUUUUCGUGGUCGUGGUGGUGCUCGUGUCUCCCGAGCAUGUUGUCAUACCACCACAUUCCGUGGCACCCGUCGUCCAAUGUAAGUAAGAGGUUAUCGUGGACGUGUUAAUUACUAUGCUCCUUACUGAUUAAUAUUCUUACCUACUUUUAAUGAUUUUUUUUACAAUAUAUAAUGAUUUCAAAAAACAUUAUAUGAUUGCCAUAAUUACACAAAAAUAUCUUCUUGAAAAUACACAAAAAAUAUAUAGAAAAAGAUCCGAUAUAUGAUAUAGAACUAGACAAAAAAUAAUAAAAAAAUGAAGAGGUGGAUAUGAGAUGCAAAAAAUAUAUAUAUCAAAAAAAAAUAAAGAUGAGCAACAAAAAAUAUGAAUAAUCCCUCUAAAAAAUGACAAAAAUAAUGAAAGAUGUGAAGAAGAAGAUGAGACUAAAGAGAACGUCUAUUGUUUCUAGUAGAUUACUAAAUAAAACAAAUAUAAAAGUGGCUAAUAAUGUUUUUUGAAUGAUCACCAAAUAAAAUAUAUCUAUAUAUAUACAUAUAUAUCUGUAAAACCUUUUUAUUUUAAAACCACAAACAAAAAACAAAAUACUAAUUGAAAAAAAAAACAAAAUAAAAAAGAUAAGAAGACCUAAAGGAAAAAAAAUGAUUGAAGAAGAAAGAAUAUUAAAAAAAAAUAUUUCAAAAAAGGACAUCAAAAAAAUAUUUUUUAAAAAAUGGAGUAAACCUAAAAAAUAGAAGAAAAGUAAUAAAAAAAUUUAAAAAAAACAUAAUACCAGAAGAUAAAGAAGAUACAAAAAAGAGAACCCAUCCAAAAAAAAAAGAAAUAAAAUUACAUCAAGAAAAAGGAAAAAAUGGAUAAAAAAGCACACAUAAAAAAAUGAACAAACAAUUUUUAUGAAAAAAAUAACAAUUAUACAUUGCUAUUAAAUUAAUAAGCUAAUUAUAAAACAAAAAAUAAAGAAUAAUAAAAAGAAAACAAUAGUAAAAUAAUAUACUAUUUAAAAAAAAACUAAA